UACGUAGGGUGCAAGCGUUGUCCGGAAUUAUUGGGCGUAAAGAGCUCGUAGGCGGUCUGUCGCGUCGGCUGUGAAAACCCGGGGCUCAACCCCGGGCCUGCAGUCGAUACGGGCAGACUAGAGUGCGGUAGGGGAGACUGGAAUUCCUGGUGUAGCGGUGAAAUGCGCAGAUAUCAGGAGGAACACCGGUGGCGAAGGCGGCUCUCUGGACCGAUACUGACGCUGAGGCGCGAAAGCGUGGGGAGCAAACAGG
rnacentral:rRNA from 1 species